UUGCUGCUCUGUGUGUCUGUGACUUAUCCCCAGCACAGUGUGACGUCAACUGCUGCUGUGAUCCCGACUGCAGCUCCAUGGAUUUCAGUGUCUUUUCUGCCUGCUCAGUUCCAGUUGUCACGGGCGACAGCCAGUUUUGUAGUCAAAAAGCGGUCAUCUAUUCAUUGAAUUUUACAGCAAACCCACCUCAAAGAGUAUUUAAACUUGUUGACCAGAUUAAUCCAUCUGUGUUCUGCAUUCAUAUUACAAACUAUAAACCUGCAUUAUCCUUUAUUAAUCCGGAAGUACCUGAUGAAAACAAUUUUGAUACACUGAUGAAAACAUCUGAUGGUUUUACAUUGAAUGCUGAAUCAUAUAUUUCCUUCACAACCAAACUGGAUAUUCCUACUGCUGCUAAAUAUGAGUAUGGGGUUCCUCUGCAGACUUCAGAUUCGUUUCUGAGAUUUCCUUUGUCCCUAACAUCAUCUCUGUGCACUGAUGAUAACCCUGCAGGUACCUGAUUCAAGAACAAAGGUCCCUAUCACUGUUCAGUCCAUCAUCAUUCAGUCUCUAAAUAAAACGCUCACCCGACGGGAAGACACUGAUGUGCUGCAGCCGACUCUCAUCAACGCUGGACACUUUAGCCUUUGCAUGA
rnacentral:sRNA from 1 species